rnacentral:ncRNA from 1 species
AUAAAAUAAUUAUGUUUUUAUAGUUUUAAUAUAAAUUUAUUUUACAUAUAAAUUUUAGUAUAUAAUUUUAAUUAUUUUGAUAAUAAUUAAUUAAAUUUGUAGUAAUUAAUAUUAAAAAUUUAAGAAAUUAAGAUUUAGAAAUAUUAAAAUUAAUAACUAAUUUUGUGCCAGCAGUUGCGGUUAAACAAAAAUUAAAUUAAAAUAUUUCAGUUUAUAAUAAAUAAUAAUAAAAUUAAAAUAAAUAUUAAAUUAUUAGGUGAAAUUUUAAUUUAAUUAAAUUUUAUUUAAAAAUUAUGAUUUAAUAAAUUUUAAUUUAAACUAGGAUUAGAUACCCUAUUAUUAAAAAUUUAAUAUAUAAGACUAAAAUAAUAGAUAAUAAUUUAUUGAAACUUAAAUAAUAUGGCGGUAUUUUAGUUCAUUUAGAGGAAUCUGUCUAAUAAUUGAUAGUCCACGAAUAAAUUUACUUAAUUUAUAAUUUUGUAUAUCAUUGUUAAAAAAAUAUUUUUUAGUGAAAAUAAUAUUUAAAAUUUUAAAAUAAAAGUUAAUUCAGAUCAAGAUGCAGAGUAUAAUUAAGAAUAUGAUGGAUUACAAUAAAUAUAUUUAAAUGAAUAAUAUAUUGAAAAAUAAAUUUGAAGGUGGAUUUAAAUGUAAUUUUAAUUAGUUUAUUGAAAUGAUUAUAAAUUAAAAUAUGUACAUAUUGCCCGUCACUUUCAUUUUAAAAUUGAAAUAAGUCGUAACAAAGUAGAGGUACUGGAAAGUGUUUCUAGAAAGA